GCUGCCCAUCAAGCACGGCUUGUGUGUUGGGUCGUCGUCCUCUCCUCCGGGGGGGACGGGCCCUAAAGGCAGCGGCGGCACCGCGUCCGAUCCUCGAGCGUAUGGGGCUUUGUCACCCGCUCUGUAGGCCCGGCCGGCGCUUGCCGAACGCAAAACAACCAUUCUUUCCAGG
rnacentral:misc_RNA from 1 species